rnacentral:rRNA from 1 species
AUGGCGGACUGGCCGGCGCCGCACGCGCGUUCCAGUGGGUUGGAAGCAGAUCGAGCUCGAACCGCCGACGCCGAGCCGGACACCAAUGGCUCCCCUAGCCUCCGUUCGUCCGCACGCAGGUGCAAGUCGCGGCGCAUGAUGCUUUGCUUGUCCACCAGGUGUGUCGUUUUCUACCGCUACCGAGAUUCCUGCAAAAUGUACGUUUGCAUGCCAAAAAGUUGUUGCCAACUGUUUCUCCCAUCCUCUAGACUUUUCCAGCCCGCUUUGACCCCCAGGCCGAGCAAUGCUACACUUACGUAG